rnacentral:rRNA from 1 species
GUGAGGAAUAUUGGGCAAUGGAGGCAACUCUGACCCAGCCAUGCCGCGUGCAGGAAGACGGUCCUAUGGAUUGUAAACUGCUUUUAUACGGGAAGAAACACUCCCUCGUGAGGGAGCUUGACGGUACCGUAAGAAUAAGGAUCGGCUAACUCCGUGCCAGUAGCCGCGGUAAUACGGAGGAUCCAAGCGUUAUCCGGAAUCAUUGGGUUUAAAGGGUCCGUAGGCGGUUUAAUAAGUCAGUGGUGAAAGCCCAUCGCUCAACGAUGGAACGGCCAUUGAUACUGUUAGACUUGAAUUACAAGGAAGUAACUAGAAUAUGUAGUGUAGCGGUGAAAUGCUUAGAUAUUACAUGGAAUACCAAUUGCGAAGGCAGGUUACUACUUGUGGAUUGACGCUGAUGGACGAAAGCGUGGGGAGCGAACAGGAUUAGAAACCCCAGUAGUCC